rnacentral:rRNA from 1 species
UUUCUAUGGAGAGUUUGAUCCUGGCUCAGGACGAACGCUGGCGGCGUGCCUAAUACAUGCAAGUCGAGCGGACGAUUCAAAAGCUUGCUUUUGAAUCGUUAGCGGCGGACGGGUGAGUAACACGUGGGCAACCUGCCCUGUAGACGGGGAUAACACCGAGAAAUCGGUGCUAAUACCGGAUAACACGAAAUGUCGCAUGACGUUUCGUUGAAAGGCGGCGCAAGCUGCCGCUACAGGAUGGGCCCGCGGCGCAUUAGCUAGUUGGUGAGGUAACGGCUCACCAAGGCGACGAUGCGUAGCCGACCUGAGAGGGU